GACGAACGCUGGCGGCGUGCUUAACACAUGCAAGUCGAGCGAGGAAAUUGCUUCGGUAAUUUCCUAGCGGCGGACGGGUGAGUAACACGUGGGCAACCUGCCUGAUAGAGGGGGAUAGCCUCCCGAAAGGGAGAUUAAUACCGCAUAAAGUCAAAUGAAGGCAUCUUCAAAUGACCAAAGGAGUAAUCCAACUAUCAGAUGGGCCCGCGGCGCAUUAGCUAGUUGGUGAGGUAACGGCUCACCAAGGCGACGAUGCGUAGCCGACCUGAGAGGGUGAGCAGCCACAUUGGGACUGAGACACGGCCCAGACUCCUACGGGAGGCAGCAGUGGGGAAUAUUGCACAAUGGGGGAAACCCUGAUGCAGCAACGCCGCGUGAGUGAUGAAGGCCUUCGGGUUGUAAAGCUCUGUCUUCAGGGACGAUAAUGACGGUACCUGAGGAGGAAGCCACGGCUAACUACGUGCCAGCCGCCGCCGUAAAAC
rnacentral:rRNA from 1 species